ensembl:lncRNA
GAGGGACACCCCAGCUGUUUGCGUGCACAGCUGUGGGUGACUCAGAGACCAGCUUCUCCCAGCGCCCUGCCUGCCAGUGCAGCCUCCCAGUGGUGAGACUCGCCUCGGAGGUUCCCACUCUGGCUCCACACCUGUCCCACCCCUGAGACUCACAGGAGGCUGGCUCUAUCCCAGGAAACCUCACAGAGCAGAGUCUCAUUUAAUCUUCACAGUGAGAUGGGGAAGGUAGCCUAGGGGUGGCGUUACCUCCCGUUUAUAAAUAAGGAGAAUGAGAAAUGCUCAGCUAACAAGCAGAGGGUCCAUCUCCAGCCUUUGAAUCUACCAAGUAGACCACCAGCCCGUCACAGCCGCUCCCUGUAGGGCUCAUGGACAAGUGCGUAGGAUCAAGAAUUCACAUUGUGAUGAAGAGUGAUGGGAGACUGUUGCUACCCUACUGAAAUUGGAUGAAUUUGUCAGUAUGGUACUGGAAGAUGUCCCUGAAUUUGAAGUCACACCAGAAGGAAGAAGAAUUACUAAAUUAGACCAAAUUUUGUGAAAUGGAAAUGGUAUAACAACGCCGGUUCCUGGUGGAGAAGGACCUGAAGUAUGAAUGGAUUUCCUUGACUUAUGCUAUAUCCUGUUUUGUCUUACGGUGAUAACGAAAUAGAAUUUUUUUUAACCUUUCCAUGUUUGUAUUCUGUGAAGCCAAGUUUCCCAUUAAAGGGAAAUGCUUUGAGGAUGCCCUGUUCAUGCCCAUUUUUGUAAGUUAAUCAUGAUUAUUUUGGAAAAAGAACAGUUUUUUUAAGACAAAAAAUAAAGGUGUUUUUG